rnacentral:misc_RNA from 1 species
UUAAGUUCAGCGGGUAGUCCCGCCUGAUUUGAGGUCAAGUUGGUAAAGCUGUCUCUUGCGAGACGGUUAGAGGCAAUUCCCAUACGUUCGCUAAGCCGAGGCGUAGAUUACUAUCACACCAAGGCCGCAAGGGCUUUGCUAAUGUAUUCAAGGAGAGCGGAUCGGCCAGGGACCCGCAAGCUCCCAAAUCCCAGCCCGAC